AGUAGAGUAAGCUAAAAAAGCUUUCGGGCUCAUAUUCCGGAAAUGGAGGCGAAAAUCCCCCCUCUACCA
rnacentral:tRNA from 1 species